CCUACUCCUACCGGAGGCAGCAGUAGGGAAUCUUCCGCAAUGGACGAAAGUCUGACGGAGCAACGCCGCGUGAGUGAUGAAGGCUUUCGGGUCGUAAAACUCUGUUGUUAGGGAAGAACAAGUGCUAGUUGAAUAAGCUGGCACCUUGACGGUACCUAACCAGAAAGCCACGGCUAACUACGUGCCAGCAGCCGCGGUAAUACGUAGGUGGCAAGCGUUAUCCGGAAUUAUUGGGCGUAAAGCGCGCGCAGGUGGUUUCUUAAGUCUGAUGUGAAAGCCCACGGCUCAACCGUGGAGGGUCAUUGGAAACUGGGAGACUUGAGUGCAGAAGAGGAAAGUGGAAUUCCAUGUGUAGCGGUGAAAUGCGUAGAGAUAUGGAGGAACACCAGUGGCGAAGGCGACUUUCUGGUCUGUAACUGACACUGAGGCGCGAAAGCGUGGGGAGCAAACAGGAUUAGAUAC
rnacentral:rRNA from 1 species